GUUCUCGUAGUGUAGCGGUUAUCACGUGUGCUUAACACGCACAAGGCCCUCGGUUCGACCCCGAGCGAGAACA